rnacentral:rRNA from 1 species
AUUGAACGCUGGCGGCAUGCCUUACACAUGCAAGUCGAACGGCAGCAUGGAGAGCUUGCUCUCUGAUGGCGAGUGGCGAACGGGUGAGUAAUGCAUCGGAACGUACCGUGUAAUGGGGGAUAACGUAGCGAAAGUUACGCUAAUACCGCAUACGACCUGAGGGUGAAAGCAGGGGAUCGCAAGACCUUGCGUUAUACGAGCGGCCGAUGUCAGAUUAGCCAGUUGGUGAGGUAAAGGCUCACCAAGGCGACGAUCUGUAGCGGGUCUGAGAGGAUGAGCCGCCACACUGGGACUGAGACGCGGCCCAGACUCCUACGGGAGGCAGCAGUGGGGAAUUUUGGACAAUGGGGGCAACCCUGAUCCAGCCAUGCCGCGUGAGUGAAGAAGGCCUUCGGGUUGUAAAGCUCUUUCGGCCGGGAAGAAAUCGCACAGGCUAAUACUCUGUGUGGAUGACGGUACCGGCAUAAGAAGCACCGGCUAACUACGUGCCAGCAGCCGCGGUAA